CACGGGUGAGUAACACGUAUCCAACCUGCCGUCUACUCUUGGACAGCCUUCUGAAAGGAAGAUUAAUACAAGAUGGCAUCAUGAGUCCGCAUGUUCACAUGAUUAAAGGUAUUCCGGUAGACGAUGGGGAUGCGUUCCAUUAGAUAGUAGGCGGGGUAACGGCCCACCUAGUCUUCGAUGGAUAGGGGUUCUGAGAGGAAGGUCCCCCACAUCGGAACUGAGACACGGUCCAAACUCCUACGGGAGGCAGCAUG
rnacentral:rRNA from 1 species